rnacentral:lncRNA from 1 species
UCCGCAGUGCCCCAAGUGUCCCCGGACACCAAGCUGGCUCACUCUGGCGGCCGCCAUAACCCCUGCCCGGCAGCCUCUGCGGCCGGAAGUUGGCUCGGCCGGUGUUCGGGGCAUCCCUCGGGCAGUUAACCGCACUUCCGCUGGCUGGGUAUCCGCGGCAAGUUCAGAUCAUUAGUUGGCUGGAGUUAAUUAACCACCAGACAAUUAGCUUAUCUUUUUCCCGAUCCUAAGACCAGCUGGAUUGGUGAGGAGGAACUAGAGACAACAGCUUCCUUCUGAGUCACCUUGAGGCAGCAGCCACUGGGGAAAUGCAGGGAAGGACACUACCCAGGCUUCCUGGAGGGGUUGGCCCCAGGGCAUGCCCUGCUUGGGCGGAAAAGCUUGGAGUUUAGAUGAGGAAGCCUGAAUUCUCCUCUAGACCUCCUGCCAACUCUUUGCCUGACCUUGGGCAAAACAUUUAACUCUCUUCUGGGCCUUGGUUUCUUUAGCAAACACUGACGCCUGCUUCUCCGGCUCGCCCCCGCGCCCCACUCCCCCCACCGCUUUUUAAAUGUUUAUUAUUUUUUUAAUCAUGGUUUUAUUAGCUAAGGGUAUAAAUAUGUAUUAAUAAAUAUUAUGACCUUUAAAAUUUUAAAACAAAUGCAAAACCUGCAGCAUUUUUCGGGAAUUGAUUCUCUGUACAUAAAAAUGAGAUUAGUCAAUCCUUUUGGUGUCUGUUUAGCAUACAAUGAGUACAUCCAGAUAGUUAAGACCCUUGGAAUCAAGAUUAAGAGAACCAUCAAUUAAGGAGGCAGUGCGCACCUCUCCAGGGAAAUUUACUCCAGUGCUUCAUCCUACCUCAUUGGACACAGCCGACCGUGUUGGUCCUGGUUCCCUCUUCAAAUGCUGGCUCCUGGAAAUAGCAUCAAAGCAAGCAGCUGAUAAGACAAAACUGGGUUGUUGCUUAUGCUAAGGGGAAGCACCACCUUGAAAGAGUCAUUGUAGAGUGGAGGUCGGGAGGGCAAAGUUGAGAUACUGAGGUUUUGGGGUUUGGUUUAAGGCAGGUCCUUUGAUGUCGGACUUAAUCAGGGCUGGGUAAGGAUCAUGUUAUAAUAGUUUAGGAUUGUUGGUCACAGUUUUGUAUUGGUGGUCACAGUGAAGUGAGGGCUUCAAAGACUCUUGGAGCUUUCUUUGAUGCUCCCUGUUGAAGAGCUGUGUGGUUUUAUUAAUGGAUUUUCCUGAACUCAAGGAGUAAGGUUAUUUGCAACUUUUGUGUUUCUGGGCAAGCAUUUCCUGGAAUAAUAAAGUCACAAUAAUAGAGUCAUGUUAUUUUGCUUCAGCAAUUGUGAGUCGGAGUACUCUGCUAUUUGUAUCCAGAGGCACCCUGUUAUGGUUUCCUUGUGUGUAAAAUGGGGA